UCCUUCAAAAGGUCAGAAUUGCCAUCUGAUACAUCAAGCCCAGUACUGUAACAUGGCAAAUCAAUAUCAUAAUAUCAUCAUUAUAAUGCAAGGAAAAGUUCGGUAAAAAAGGGCAAAGGGGAAAAGUGGAUGCAUUCUAGUGUUUUUCCAGAUAAAGAGUCAAGUGGGAACAUCAAAAGAAAGCGUCUUCAGAUAUGGAUGAACAAAGCAAGAUGGAUAACUUCUUCAAGUCUAAUACAAAAUAAACUUUCAAUUGACAGAGACUCUAAGUCUUAUCUAUGUGAUGACAUUCAUCAUCUAUGCAAUACGUUUUCAUUCCCAUAAUGGGAAAACAGGCACAAAUAUAUCACUCAUUAUCCAGGCUUUACAGCACUGUAGUGGAUGCACUUUAAAUAGCCAAGUUUUCAUAGAACCAUUGCCAUUCAUUCAGAUAUCAGGACCAGAAAGACCAAAAGAAACACAUUCAACAACUCAAUAUAAAACUCUUUAGAUAGCAACAGAAACAGUGUGAACAAAGUAAACCAAUGAACCUUAAACCUCAAAAGCUUUAUCAACAACAACACCAUAACCCAACUGAGUCAAAAAUUCACCUAUAAUACUUCUCCUCACAUAACUACCCUUUCUAUACAGCAGAAAUAGUCUCUUACAGUAUAAACAUUAACAUUAAUGGAAACAGAGUAAUUAAGAAGUACAAACACUGAAGCCUAUUCCAGAAAAACGCUCAAAAAAUGACAGAAAAAUCUGAAAUUUUGUUGUAUUGUAUAGCUAUGGCCACAUUAAACACCCAAUUCAGAAGAAGCCCCCACCUGACCCAUCAUCUCCCAGAGAAAAAGAUGCAAACUUUGGAAAAAAAUUGACAUUUCAAACCAGAAAAAAA